rnacentral:rRNA from 1 species
AUUGAACGCUGGCGGCAGGCCUAACACAUGAAAGUCGAGCGGAGCGGCGGACGGGUGAGUAAUGCCUAGGAAUCUGCCUGGUAGUGGGGGAUAACGUCCGGAAACGGGCGCUAAUACCGCAUACUAUCAGAUGAGCCUAGGUAGGAUUAGCUAGUUGGGUGGGUAAAUGCAUACCAAGGCGAAGAUCCGUAACUGGUCUGAGAGGAUGAUCAGUAACACGGGAACUGAGACACGGUCCAUACGCCUACGGGAGGUAGCAGUGGGGAAUAUUGGACAAUGUGCGAAAGCCGGAUCCAGCCAUUCCGCGUGUGUGAAGAAGGUCUUCGGAUUGUAAAGCACUUUAAGUUGGGAGGCGUUACCAACAGAAUAAGCACCGGCUAACUUCGUGCCAGCAGCCGCGGUAAUAC